rnacentral:rRNA from 1 species
UACGUAGGGUGCAGGCGUUAAUCGGAAUUACUGGGCGUAAAGCGUGCGCAGGCGGUUUCUUAAGUCAGAUGUGAAAGCCCCGGGCUUAACCUGGGAACUGCGUUUGAAACUGGGAGACUUGAGUGUGGCAGAGGGGGGUGGAAUUCCACGUGUAGUGGUGAAAUACGUAGAGAUUGGGAAGAACACCAGUGGCGAAGGCGGCUAUCUGGACGGUUUCUGACGCUAAGACGCGAAAGCGUGGGGAGCAAACAGG